GAUGAGUCAAAUGAGGAUAUUUCUGUUGAUUUGGAAUGUGAUAGCUUAGUGGUUACUAAAACUAAGGAAGAAACUAUUUUGGGAACAUGUGAUCAAGGAGUACAUAAUAAGGCUGAAGAGCGGAAUCCUGAAAACGUAUGUCAAGAUAGUGUAGUAGAGACACCACAAGCGAAUACUGAAGCACAAAAAGCCUCUCUUAAGAAAAGCAAGACCCCUAAUGCAAAUGUAAAGCAUGUGCCUCGAAAGGUAUACACUCCAGACGCUCGGGUAUCCGUUGGAACAAAGAAGAAACUGACUUCACCUGUGGCAAAAUCCUCAAGAAUUUCUACUCCAACAUCUAAGCAAGUGCCAACUUCUAAGGUCAUUACUCCAUCUCAACCAUCAGUAAAGAAGGUGACUGGAAUGUCAACUCAAAGAAGUAAUACUACUCCUUUGGCACAACGCAAGAAACUAGUUCCUGGGUCAUUUGUGUCCCCUUCUCAAUCCUCAAACAAAA
rnacentral:misc_RNA from 1 species